rnacentral:rRNA from 1 species
CUGAAUCAGUGUGUGUGUUAGUGGAAGCGUCUGGAAAGGCGCGCGAUACAGGGUGACAGCCCCGUACACAAAAAUGCACAUAUUGUGAGCUCGAUGAGUAGGGCGGGACACGUGGUAUCCUGUCUGAAUAUGGGGGGACCAUCCUCCAAGGCUAAAUACUCCUGACUGACCGAUAGUGAACCAGUACCGUGAGGGAAAGGCGAAAAGAACCCCGGCGAGGGGAGUGAAAAAGAACCUGAAACCGUGUACGUACAAGCAGUGGGAGC